UACGAAGGGGGCGAGCGUUGUUCGGAUUUACUGGGCGUAAAGCGCGUGUAGGCGGAUCGUUAAGUCGGGGGUGGAAGCCCAGAGCUCAACUCUGGAAUUGCCUUCGAUACUGGCGGUCUGGAGCAGAGAAGAGGCGAGUGGAAGUCCGAGUGUAGAGGUGAAAUUCGUAGAUAUUCGGAGGAACACCAGUGGCGAAGGCGGCUCGCUGGUCUCUUGCUGACGCUGAGACGCGAAAGCGUGGGGAGCAAACAGG
rnacentral:rRNA from 1 species